GAUGAAGAACGUAGCGAAAUGCGAUAAGUAAUGUGAAUUGCAGAAUUCAGUGAAUCAUCGAAUCUUUGAACGCACAUUGCGCCCGCCAGUAUUCUGGCGGGCAUGCCUGUCUGAGCGUCAUUUCAACCCUCAUGCCCCUAGGGCGUGGUGUUGGGGAUCGGCCAAAGCCCGCGAGGGACGGCCGGCCCCUAAAUCUAGUGGCGGACCCGUCGUGGCCUCCUCUGCGAAGUAGUGAUAUUCCGCAUCGGAGAGCGAUGAGCCCCUGCCGUUAAACCCCCAACUUUCCCAGGUUGACCUCAGAUCAGGUAGGAAUACCCGCUGAACUUAAGCAUAUCAAUAAGCGGAGGA
rnacentral:misc_RNA from 1 species